UUAAAUCUCAUUUACCUCGUUUAUGUGCUACAGUGCACUGGAAAAAUAGUGGCACCUUGAUGCGUUCCUACCCAGUUGGAUGAGAUAACCAGGUGGGAUCGGAAUAUAAAGGUUAAUUCACUUCCCUACUGAUAAUACAAUCAUUACAAACUUUAGCAAGUGUUUUAUACAAAAUGUUGUAUAAAGUAUCCUUUGCCUCUUCAGUCCGACUUGUCAAAACGAUAUAUCUGUGCGUAACCCGAUUUUGUAUCAUUAUUAUUUGUCCUUUCGGCCUGAACACAUCAAAAUUUGUUGUCCAGUCUCAAAUUAUAUCUUUUUGUUCGGUUCAAAAACCUUUACGAAUUAAUCAUGUGCUGCGGACCCUGUGGACCCUGUUGCGGACCUUGCUGCGGACCCUGCUGUGGUCCAUGCGGACCAUGCGGCGGCGGAUGUGGACCCUGCUAUGGACCGAAUGUCUGCGGACCAUGCUAUGCCUGUGGACCCUGUGGCGGCUGCUACUGUGGAUACCCUUGCUGCUAGACAGUUGCCCAAGAAGGGUUCAGCAGAACCCUUAGUCAUCCUCGUAUUCAUCUUAUAUUCGUGAACCCCACAAAUGAGUAUUUGAGACAAUAAAAAUGAAGUGUCCGCUUCAA